rnacentral:sRNA from 12 species
UUGCCUAAGGGCUAGUUUUACCUUAGGCAAACCUCUGUCUCUUGUAGCA